AUUGAACGCUGGCGGCAUGCCUUACACAUGCAAGUCGAACGGCAGCGGACCUUCGGGUGCCGGCGAGUGGCGAACGGGUGAGUAAUGCAUCGGAACGUACCUUUCAGUGGGGGAUAACGUAGCGAAAGUUACGCUAACACCGCAUAUUCUGUGAGCAGGAAAGCAGGGGAUCGCAAGACCUUGCGCUGAUUGAGCGGCCGAUGUCAGAUUAGCUAGUUGGUGAGGUAAAGGCUCACCAAGGCGACGAUCUGUAGCGGGUCUGAGAGGAUGAUCCGCCACACUGGGACUGAGACACGGCCCAGACUCCUACGGGAGGCAGCAGUGGGGAAUUUUGGACAAUGGGGGCAACCCUGAUCCAGCCAUGCCGCGUGAGUGAAGAAGGCCUUCGGGUUGUAAAGCUCUUUCGGCCGGGAAGAAAUCGCACAGGCUAAUACCUUGUGUGGAUGACGGUACCGGAAUAAGAAGCACCGGCUAACUACGUGCCAGCCGCCGCGGUAAAAC
rnacentral:rRNA from 1 species